rnacentral:rRNA from 1 species
CCUACGGGUGGCAGCAGUGAGGAAUAUUGGUCAAUGGCCGGAAGUCUGAACCAGCCAAGCAGCGUGCAGGAUGAAGGCGCUACGCGUCGCAGACCUCUUUUACCCGGGAACAAAACGCCGUACUCGUCCGGUCUUGCGUGUACCCUAUGAAUAAGCAUCGGCUAACUCCGUGCCAGCAGCCGCGGUAAUACGGAGGGUCCGAGCGUUAUCCGGAUUUAUUGGGUUUAAAGGGGGCGUAGGCGGACGGUGAAGUCUGCGGGAAAAGCCCGGGGCUCAACCCCGGCGAGCAGUGGAAACUGGCGGUCUUGAGAGGGCGGGAGGUAGGCGGAAUGCGUAGUGUAGCGGUGAAAUGCUUAGAUAUGGCGAAGAACCCCGAUUGCGAAGGCAGCUUACUGGAGGGGAACUGACGCUGAGGCACGAAAGCGCUGGUAUCGAACAGGAUUAGAUACCCGUGUAGUC